AGCGAACGCUGGCGGCAUGCCUAACACAUGCAAGUCGCACGGGGGGGCUUCGGCCUCCCAGUGGCGGACGGGUGAGGAACGCGUAGGGACCUGUCGAGGGGUGGGGGAUAACCGCGGGAAACUGCGGCUAAUACCGCAUGACGCCGCGGCGUGACAGCCGGGGCCAAAGGCGAAAGCCGCCCGCCGAGGGGCCUGCGUCCGAUUAGCUGGUUGGCGGGGUAGCGGCCCACCAAGGCGUCGAUCGGUAGCUGGUCUGAGAGGGUGAUCAGCCACACCGGGACUGAGACACGGCCCGGACUCCUAUGGGAGGCAGCAGUGGGGAAUAUUGGACAAUGGGCGCAAGCCUGAUCCAGCAAUGCCGCGUGGGUGAAGAAGGUCUUCGGAUUGUAAAGCCCUUUCGGCGGGGACGAUGGUGACGGUACCCGCAGAAGAAGCCCCGGCUAACUUCGUG
rnacentral:rRNA from 1 species